UGUCGGUUUCCGAAAGGAAUUGAAAGGGAAUCCGCCGUGGCGCGCCUUGCGCCUCGAACCGGAACUGCCCCCGCAACUGUAGGCGGUGAGCAGGAUGCGAUGAUGCCACUGUGGCCCUCGGGUCAUGGGAAGGCCGCAUCCCGCCACGACCCGCCAGUCAGGAGACCUGCCGACGCAGA
rnacentral:ncRNA from 1 species